AGAGUUGAUCUGGCUCAGGAUGAACGCUAGCUACAGGCUAACACAUGCAAGUCGAGGGCAGCAUGAACUUAGCUUGCUAAGGUUGAUGGCGACCGGCGCACGGGUGAGUAACGCGUAUCCAACCUUCCCAUAGUAGGGCAUAGCCCGGCGAAAGUCGGAUUAAUACCCUAUGUUCUCCGACGAUGGCAUCUGACUUGGAGCAAAGGUUUUCCGCUAUGGGAUGGGGAUGCGUCCGAUUAGCUUGCCGGCGGGGUAACGGCCCACCGGGGCUUCGAUCGGUAGGGGUUCUGAGAGGAAGGUCCCCCACAUUGGAACUGAGACACGGUCCAAACUCCUACGGGAGGCAGCAGUGAGGAAUAUUGGUCAAUGGGCGCGAGCCUGAACCAGACCCAAGUAGCGUGCAGGAUGACGGCCCUACGGGUUGUAAACUGCUUUUGUACGGGAAUAAAGUGCGGGACGCGUCCCGUUUUGUAUGUACCGUAAGAAUAAGGACCGGCUAAUUCCGUGCCAGCCGCCGC
rnacentral:rRNA from 1 species